AACGAACGCUGGCGGCAUGCCUAACACAUGCAAGUCGAACGAGACCUUCGGGUCUUGUGGCGCACGGGUGCGUAACGCGCGGGAACCUGCCCUAAGGGUCGGAAUAACUCCCCGAAAGGGGUGCUAAUACCGGAUAAUGUCUUCGGACCAAAGAUUUAUCGCCUUUGGAUGGGCACGCGUUGGAUUAGCUAGUUGGUAGGGUAAAAGCCUACCAAGGCGACGAUCCAUAGCUGGUCUGAGAGGAUGAUCAGCCACGCUGGGACUGGGACCCGGCCCAGACGCCUACGGGAGGCAGCAGUGGGGAAUAUUGGACAAUGGGCGAGAGCCUGAUCCAGCAAUGCCGCGUGAGUGAUGAAGUCCUUAGGGUUGUAAAGCUCUUUUACCCGGGAUGAUAAUGACGGUACCGGGAGAAUAAGCUCCGGCUAACUCCGUG
rnacentral:rRNA from 1 species